rnacentral:rRNA from 1 species
UACGAGGGGGGCAAGCGGUUGUUCGGAUUUAUUGGGCGUAAAGGGUGCGUAGGCGGUUUGAUAAGUUCUGGUGUGAAAUCUAUGGGCUCAACCCAUAGUCUGCACUAGAAACUGUCGGGCUUGAGUAUGGGAAGAGGUGAGUGGAAUUUCCGUGUAGCGGUGAAAUGCGUAGAUAUCGGAAAGGAACACCUGUGGCGAAAGCGGCUCA